rnacentral:lncRNA from 1 species
UACACUAACUCUAAGGUCUUGGGCGGCAGCUGAAGUACAGCACUCCCAGCCUUCAGCCGCCGCCCGAGACCUUGAAGUUGGUGUACACAAAGUACAGCGCUCCCAGCUCCAGUGACGCCACCAGCGUCAGGUUGACAGCGACCAACGCCUUGUUGACUGCAGUGUCCUGCUUCAGCUGCGAGAUAUUAUUCUGCAUAUCGCCGAUGUCCUUCUGCAUUUUGCCCUGGUUCGUGAGCACCUUGUUGAGCUUGUGGGAGCUAUCACACGGAUCUAACAUGGGAUGAAGUUUGCUGCGGAGUUAGGCAGCAGGUAUGGACAGCAGCUGUGAUUGUCUGCAAGUCUAGUGUGAAGACUCAGCGGUGGGAGCUUAUCCGCUGAUCAACCUCAGGUGCUACUUCUGAGGGGUGCUGUGUUGCCAGUUCUGGUGUGUGCAUGUGAUUUGCGACAACCAGAGGAGUGGUACGUGUGGAGAAGGCACAUGUGGAUUGAACUGUGCGUGGGCCCAGUUAACGCAGUGGUAGUGGAAACAGGUCAGGGUUGAAUUUGGUUGGUUAAGUGAAUGUGUUUUGUAGGGCUGAACUGCAUGCACGCUGGCAUGGCAGCCUGCGUGACCACUUAGUGCUGCAUGGGCACCCCCUUGCACGCGGCAGGGGCUGACCGCUAGGGCUCUCACCUAACAGGGGAAAGGCGCGGGGAAAGGCGGGGGGAAAGCAAACACGAUAUGCUGCCUACAGUAUUGCCAAAAACGCUCAGGUAGCUGCAAGGGUUUCUUGUAGAAUGUCGCGUUUCUGGUUGUACACAUUGUUGCAGGAAGAUGAAGUUUUCGACGACCGGUUGCUUGCUGACUACCCUGGCCGCGCGCUGCUAGCGCGCUCAGAAAGAGGUAACCAAAGGCAAGAGACUCUGGUUGACGGAAUACUAACUGGGUGUCAUGGCGAAAGAGAAAGAAAGCACGGCUUGGUCACAGCAGCGGAUCCGUCCUCCAGCCAGGUCCAGCUUAUAGAUACUCAGGUACACAACUAAGGAUUAACAGGUUGAAAAGGAAGGCUCAACUAAAGGGCAUCACGUAAAUUGUCGGAACUGCGACCGGGUUGAGCCAUGCAGCAAUCGCGCUGUCGUUACAUCCUCGGCCGCCCGGCGCCCUUGCUCAUUUAACCGCAUCCAUCACUUCUCCCUCGGCCCCUGCGGGUGCGCCCAGUUGCCGCGCCAGUCCAAAGUCCGCCAGUUUGGCCACGAAGCCGCGGGGGUCGGUGUCGGAGCGCUCGGGGGGGGGGGGAGGGGGGGGGGGGGCAGCGGUCAUGGAGCUGGUGGCGUGUGUGGUAGGACACGUGUGGAACGUGUUAGGAAACGUGUGGAACGGGAAACGCGCUAUGCAUGUGUGUUGGAAGAGGUGAAAAGAAAGUAGGGAUUGGGGGCAUUCGCUCUCACAAGCAAGCAGCUGUCGUGUCCUGGCGUGUGAGCGUGCGUGCCGUGUCACACCGACCAUUGGGUCCGGCUUUGCAUUUCCUCUUUUCAUUAGCGUGCAGACAAGACAAUAAGAUUUACGUUCUGCAUGAUUUGGAGUCACGCUUGUAUGCGCGGACUAUAGAAAGAUCUGUUCGGAUAAGAGCGUCGUACUGCAUGGAGGCAGCGACGUCUCGAGGCCAAGUGCGCGGGAGAGAGCCACCGGGUUGUCUUUUGGCUCUCGUCCCGAACGUGCGCCCCGUAUCAUAGACCAAGCCUAGUCUCGUUGUAAUAUUUGAGAGUCUGAUCAACUCCUACGACGGGAAUAGCGACAUCUCCGGCCGGAGUCUGGAGCUAAGCCACACAGUACGUUGAGCAGGGCUGCGUAAACGCAUUUGCCUUGUGUGCUUGUGUAGGUAACAGAGACACGAACCCUCGUAGAAUGUCCGUUUACACACGUACGGGCGCGACACAGCCGACAUCCCAAAGCCACGCGCAAGCAGCGCUGACAACCGAACAGCCCCUUCAUCCCCCCCUCAUCCCCCCCUUCCCCACCCCCACCUGCAGCAGCACAUUGGCGGUCUUGAGGUCGCCGUGUGCGAUGUGGCGUGAGUGCAGGUAGCGCAGCGAGGGCGUGCAGCCCUUUCACAGCUCCUUGUGAGAGCCACCAGGUUUGUUUGCAUGGGCCCAUGCAGUCGAAAUGCAGCUGAAAAAAAACUCGCCGACCGAUUUUCGGGGGGUAAACCCGUCAGUUGCAGUCAAACCUAAUUGUUUUUAUUUUGCUGCUUUCAAAAAUUUGCGCCUUCCCGUACGAAGCUUCAGCCGCCGCCCGAGACCUUGAAGUGACUCGGCAAAACGUGACUCUCUGUAAAUUAAGAGGUAAGCGUUGAGCCACUGCAGCGACAGCGAAUGCAUUUUCGUGGGCUGCAGCUCAGCUGCAAUCUCUCUCACUGAGCAGUCAACAAAGCCUUUCAAGUAGACGUAAUCAAAGUUGGCAAUCACAAAUAUAGCUGGAAUCCUGUCUUUGAUAUUGACUGGCUUUGCUCCCCCUGCCUUGUAGCUUUCUUUUGUUCAACGCUCCGACUCGUGGGAGGCUUCAGGACACACGCAGUAAGUUUGUGGGAUUCAUCGAGCUGGCGCGGGCGGGGCGAUGCCUAAGGGGGAAGGCUCGGGCGGGGCGAAGACGGUGGCUUCGGCAUCGGCCAGAGCGAUGACCGCUCGGGGCCAGGGGCCGCCCAGGGCCUUAGAAAGCAGGGGGGAGGCUUGUGCGGGGCGGGGGCAGACCGCGAGGGGCUUAGAAAGCAGGGGGAGGCUCACGCAGGGAGGGCGGGGGUGGACCGCUCGGGACCUCCUAGUGCAGAGGUGGGAAAUAUUUGCUAGUUUUCCUCUGAACGCCUUGAAGGCUCUGAUGGCAGGGGGCCGCGUGGGGGGCUGCUCGGGCUACUUAAGGCAUGGGCCGGCAGCUCUGGGCUGGGUGGGCCGCAUUGGGGCCUUCCUGGGUCUACUUAAGGCAUGGGGCGGGCAGCUCGGGGCUGGCCUCGGGGUGGGCUUGCGUGGGCCUGCUCGGGCUACCAAAGGCUUAGUGAUAAGGUCGGGUCCGGUAUGGGCUUACAAAAGGCUGGGCGGGCCUGGAUUCAGCCAUGGUGUGCCACUCUUUUGCCACUCUUACACCUAUGCAUUUUCUUCCCGCCCUUGGCAAACGGCAGAAUGCACAAGUGCAACUGCGUGUACAGCGCUGGUGCUGCACCAGCGCACCUGCCGGGCAAGCAAGUGCGGCUACGUACCGCGGUGAGGGCGGGUGCGCUGUACACGCGCCCGGCACGCCACGGCCGGUCAGUCCUGGAGCGCAAGCUCAACAAGGUGCUCACGAACCAGGGCAAAAUGCAGAAGGACAUCGGCAAAAUGCAGAAGGACAUCGGCAAAAUGCAGAAGGACAUCGGCGAAAUGCAGAAGGACAUCUCGCAGCUGAAGCAGGACACGGCAGUGAACAAGGCGUUGGUCGCUAUCAACCUGACACCGGUGGCGUCACUGGUGCUGGGAGUGCUGUACUUCGUCUCGGGCGGCGGCUGAAGCGUCUAGGGUGGCGGCUGAAGCUUCAGCCGCCGCCCGAGACCNNNNNNNNNNNNNNNNNNNNNNNNNNNNNNNNNNNNNNNNNNNNNNNNNNNNNNNNNNNNNNNNNNNNNNNNNNNNNNNNNNNNNNNNNNNNNNNNNNNNNNNNNNNNNNNNNNNNNNNNNNNNNNNNNNNNNNNNNNNNNNNNNNNNNNNNNNNNNNNNNNNNNNNNNNNNNNNNNNNNCAGCCGCCGCCCGAGACCUUAAAGUUGGUGUACACGAAGUACAGCACUCCCAGCACCAGUGACGCCACCGGUGUCAGGUUGAUAGCGACCAACGCCUUGUUUACUGCCGUGUCCUGCUUCAGCUGCGAGAUGUCCUUCUGCAUUUCGCCGAUGCUUCAGCCGCCGCCCGAGACCUUGAAGUUGGUGUACACGAAGUAGGUGUGUGAAUUUUGGUUUAUGCUUGACCGGUCAAACCAAGCGCAGGGGGCGGAUGUUGUUUCUCUGGGUCGCAGAUGGCCCUUUGCGGCGUGGGUACGGCGUGCCCCCGCUUGUCCCUUCAAUUGUAAUCCGCAUCCUUAUCCGCUGAUCAAUCUCAGGUG